GUUUGCUCUGGCCUUCUCUCUUCCUCUCUUCUACUUUCUGUUUUUCUGCACUCUUCUCCCUCUUUUCUCUGCACCAUUCCUUCCCUUCUUCCUCCAUCUGCCCUUCCCUCUUCUGCUGUUCCGUCUGUUCUCCUCGCCCUCUCUUUCUUUCCCUUGCCAUUUUUAGAUCAGCUCUCCUUACGCGUAUCCUCUCUUCUGUUUUGCCCUCUUUCUUCCCCCCCUCUCAUUCAUCACUCUUCUGUUCUUCCCCCUUACAAGCUCCUCUCUUCCCUUUUUUCUUUGUUCUGCUCGAUCUUUUCUCUCCUCUCCUUCUCUGCUCUCCUCUUUAUUGUCCCUGCUCCUCUCUCUGUCCUCCACUUUUCCCUUCUUUCUUCUCAUUUAUUCACCUUUAUAUUCCCAGGGAGGACUGCUCAGGAGACUACAGGAACGUUCUGCUGAAGCUCUGUGGCAGUGAGGAUUGAAGGAUUCCUGGUGUACGUCCCGCGUUAUGGGAAGGAGGGGAUCAUAAGGAUUUCUCUCAGGUGUUUGUAACUGUUGGUGAAUAACGCUCUGAAGGCAUCACAGACUGCCUGCUUGUCUCUGCAGUGCUCGGGGCUUUUCUGAGCUGCAGGCUCGCUGUCGCCCUGUGGCAUAGCCUUGCAUCUGGUGACGGACUGAAGCUGGAGAAUCCUGGCAGCAGAGGACGCUCCUGCCCCACAGAAGGGCUCACAGCUCCACCGCAGCUCCACCGACCUCAGUGCUGGUGAGGAGGCUGAGAUGCCUCCAAGUGAUGAAUGCAGUGCACCCAACCUUACACCUCGUGUGGUUCACUGUGCGAGGCGACCAGGAAGAAAGGUCUGGCCGACUGGCACAGUCAGUCUCCAAGCAGUCGCACGCUGCCGGUUUGGAGGUAGUUCUGUGUUGGUGUUAGAAUCAUGGAAUGGCCUGGGUUGAGAAGGACCUCAAAGAUCGUCCAGUUCCAACCCCCUGCUAUGUGCAGGGUCACCAACUGACGGACCAGGCUGCCCAGAGCCUUGUCUUGAAUAAGAUUGUUUUUAGGCGAACAAAAACUUUGGAUCACCUUUCAAAUAC
rnacentral:lncRNA from 1 species